rnacentral:rRNA from 1 species
GACGAACGCUGGCGGCGUGCCUAAUACAUGCAAGUCGAACGCAGUGGGGACGGGUGAGUAACACGUGGGUAACCUCCCAUCAGAGGGGAUAACACUUGGAAACAGGUGCUAAACCGAUACUGAUGGAUGGACCCGCGGUGCAUUAGCUAGUUGGUGAGGUAACGGCUCAACAAGGCCACGAUGCAUAGCAGGCCUGAGGGGGGGGUCGGCCAAAACGGGACUGGGACACGGCCCAGAAUCCUACGGGAGGCAGCAGUAGGGAAUCUUUGGCAAUGGGGGGAACCCUGACCGAGCAACGGCGCGUGAGUGAAGAAGGUUUUCGGAUCGUAAAGCUCUGUUGUUAAGGAAGCGGUACUUAACCAGAAAGGGACGGCUAACUACGUGCCAGCAGCCGCGGUAAUAC